CUGAUGCAGCCAUGCCGCGUGUAUGAAGAAGGCCUUCGGGUUGUAAAGUACUUUCAGUCGUGAGGAAGGCGGCGUCGUUAAUAGCGGCGUCAUUUGACGUUAGCGACAGAAGAAGCACCGGCUAACUCCGUGCCAGCAGCCGCGGUAAUACGGAGGGUGCGAGCGUUAAUCGGAAUUACUGGGCGUAAAGCGCAUGCAGGUGGUUUGUUAAGUCAGAUGUGAAAGCCCGGGGCUCAACCUCGGAAUAGCAUUUGAAACUGGCAGACUAGAGUACUGUAGAGGGGGGUAGAAUUUCAGGUGUAGCGGUGAAAUGCGUAGAGAUCUGAAGGAAUACCGGUGGCGAAGGCGGCCCCCUGGACAGAUACUGACACUCAGAUGCGAAAGCGUGGGGAGCAAACAGGAUUAGAUACCCUGGUAGUCCACGCCGUAAACGAUGUCUACUUGGAGGUUGUGGCCUUGAGCCGUGGCUUUCGGAGCUAACGCGUUAAGUAGACCGCCUGGGGAGUACGGUCGCAAGAUUAAAACUCAAAUGAAUUGACGGGGGCCCGCACAAGCGGUGGAGCAUGUGGUUUAAUUCGAUGCAACGCGAAGAACCUUACCUACUCUUGACAUCCAGAGAACUUUCCAGAGAUGGAUUGGUGCCUUCGGGAACUCUGAGACAGGUGCUGCAUGGCUGUCGUCAGCUCGUGUUGUGAAAUGUUGGGUUAAGUCCCGCAACGAGCGCAACCCUUAUCCUUGUUUGCCAGCGAGUAAUGUCGGGAACUCCAGGGAGACUGCCGGUGAUAAACCGGAGGAAGGUGGGGGACGACGUCAAGUCAUCAUGGCCCUUACGAGUAGGGCUACACACGUGCUACAAUGGCGCAUACAGAGGGC
rnacentral:rRNA from 1 species